GUAUAAGAGACAGCAGUAGCCGCGGGAAUACGGAGGGUGCAAGCGUUAUCCGGAUUUAUUGGGUUUAAAGGGUCCGUAGGCGGAUCUGUAAGUCAGUGGUGAAAUCUCACAGCUUAACUGUGAAACUGCCAUUGAUACUGCAGGUCUUGAGUAAAUUUGAAGUGGCUGGAAUAAGUAGUGUAGCGGUGAAAUGCAUAGAUAUUACUUAGAACACCAAUUGCGAAGGCAGGUCACUAAGAUUUAACUGACGCUGAUGGACGAAAGCGUGGGGAGCGAACAGGAUUAGAUACCCCUGUAGUCCCUGUCUCUUAUAC
rnacentral:rRNA from 1 species